rnacentral:lncRNA from 1 species
AUUUGUUUCCUCCUAGUGAUAAGGUUGCACUGCCUAUUUUAAAGGAUUUUGAUAAUCAAUUAGGUACUUUAAUGUCUAUAUAGAUAUUCUUGGCAGAAAGAAAUUACCUGAAGAAGAAUUAUAACUCCACUUCUAUAUUCUCCUUUACUCUUUUUCCGGGACUCCAUAGACUCUUCGCAAAUCGCAAGAACGCUUUGAUACUUUCUUGUACAUCAUUAUGGACGAACAGCCCAGUAAGCACCAUCUCUUUGUUUGUAAAUUGUGCCUUGACCAUUUUUAUUUUUUUGAACUUUGUUAAUUGUUUUUAGCCAAUUCUCUCUUAUAUUUUUUAGGGUUCUUGAAUUCUUCUUGACUUAAUAAUUGUGAUUCGGUUAAAAAAAUUUUAUUUGCAUGUAAAUAAAUAAAUAAAUAAUAAAUAAAUAAAUUCUGUUGUAUUCUUUAGGGUUCAUAAGCCGAGUUCUUGAAUCUUCUCGUCUUUGCCAUGAUUGAUUUGAUUUGAAACUUUUAAUAUGUUUAUAUCCAAUCUGUUUUAUAUACUUUAGAGUUUAGAGUUCUUCAGCUAAUCCAUGUCUUAACAAUUGCGAUUAUAGUAAGACUAGAAUCUUUCUUUCUGUUCUUUAGGGUUCGUAAGUUUUCUUGGGCUCUUCUUGACCAUUAUGAUUUCACACUUCUUGAUUUUUAUUUUAUUUUUAGCCAAUUUAAUGUUAUAUUCUUAGUGCAAGUUUGUAUAUAAUAGAAUUGGACAAUUAUAUAUGUUCCUUCCUAAUGUCGAAAUCUUUCUAUCUAAUACAAGUCAUGAAACAUGCCAAAUUUUGAAAGCAAGUUUUCUUGAUGCUUGUUUCAUUAUCAACAGAUGCAGCAGAAAAUAUGGAAAUCAAAAGUCAGGAUCACAUGCUGUUCUUCUAUGUGCGUAUGAUUAUAUGGAGAUCCAUAAUGGCUACGUUCAGCAGUGUUCUAAUAUGGUUUCUAGUGAAGUUCCAAAUAAAGGAAUUUCGGCAUUCUACAAAUCAGCAUGUCGACGUGAUAAACGUUGCCAUGAGUUU